rnacentral:rRNA from 1 species
GCCCAGCACCGAAUCCUUCACCAUCUUGGUGACAGGAAAUGUGGUGUUUAGGCCGUACCUUGUCCCGAAACGUUUCUCCUCAAGUCCACUUGAUUGUGGCCCCAGGCCCAGAGAGGGUGUAAGGCCCGUUGAGGCGAGACGUUCGGUACCUGGUGCGUCCUUAGAGUCGGGUUGUUUGGGAAUGCAGCCCUAAGCGGGUGGUAAACUCCAUCCAAGGCUAAAUACCAGCACGAGUCCGAUAGCGAAGAAGUACCGCGAGGGAAGGUUGAAAAGAACUUUGAAGAGAGAGUUCAAGAGUACGUGAAACCGCUGAGAGGCAAACUGGUGGAACUGAAAUGGCUCCGAGGAAUUCAGCCGUUGGUGGUUGUACAGUCUUUGGUGCUUGAUUUAACGACAACGCCAUUGAAUGAUGUUUCCAUCAUCGGUGCACUUUCCUCGUUAUGGGCCCGACCACGACCGGUGAGCUGAUCUGUCUGUCGUGCUUGGAAGAUAGCGCCAUCUUCGGAAGGCGUGUUAUAGACUGGCAUACGGAGCAGUCGGCGCACUGGAUGAUAGUGCCUGCCCUUCGGGCUCAUAUGGCGGUUGUUUUGUUGGCGAUUUCUGAUGUCACUACUUCGGUAGAGUCGUUGGAGUCUGUUGGCAUUAUGGCUGUCCUCUAUGAUUGGCACUGGUAAGUCUGUGGUUGUGAAGUAGGUAGUCCACCUGACCCGUCUUGAAACACGGACCAAGGAGUCUAACAUGUGCGCGAGUCAUUGGGUUCACGAAACCUAAAGGCGCAGUGAAGGUAAAGAUCUGUUUUGGCAGAUUGAGGUGGGAUGCUGGGUUACGCGCCCGGCCGCACUACCGGCCCGUUCUAUAUGUAUCUCAUAGGAGCGGAGCAAGAGCGUACACGUUGGGACCCGAAAGAUGGUGAACUAUGCUUGCGCAGGUCGAAGCCAGAGGAAACUC